GCUAGUUCAGUGGUUAGAGAUUAAGGCUUGUGACCAGAAGGUCCCGGGUUUGAAUCUCGCCAGAGGCA
rnacentral:tRNA from 1 species